CUUUUAUGGAGAGUUUGAUCCUGGCUCAGGACGAACGCUGGCGGCGUGCCUAAUACAUGCAAGUCGAGCGAACAGAGAAGGAGCUUGCUCCUUCGGCGUUAGCGGCGGACGGGUGAGUAACACGUGGGCAACCUACCUUAUAGUUUGGGAUAACUCCGGGAAACCGGGGCUAAUACCGAAU
rnacentral:rRNA from 1 species